GUGGGGAAUAUUGGACAAUGGGCGCAAGCCUGAUCCAGCAAUGCCGCGUGGAUGAAGAAGGUCUUCGGAUUGUAAAGUCCUUUCGACGGGGACGAUGAUGACGGUACCCGUAGAAGAAGCCCCGGCUAACUUCGUGCCAGCAGCCGCGGUAAUACGAAGGGGGCUAGCGUUACUCGGAAUUACUGGGCGUAAAGGGCGCGUAGGCGGCUUGAUAAGUCAGGCGUGAAAUUCCCGGGCUCAACCUGGGGACUGCGCUUGAGACUGUUGAGCUAGAGGAUGGAAGAGGGUCGUGGAAUUCCCAGUGUAGAGGUGAAAUUCGUAGAUAUUGGGAAGAACACCGGUGGCGAAGGCGGCGACCUGGUCCAUUACUGACGCUGAGGCGCGACAGCGUGGGGAGCAAACAGGAUUAGAAACCCUAGUAGUCC
rnacentral:rRNA from 1 species